rnacentral:rRNA from 1 species
GAUGAACGCUGGCGGCGUGCCUAAUACAUGCAAGUCGAGCGAACAGACGAGGAGCUUGCUCCUCUGACGUUAGCGGCGGACGGGUGAGUAACACGUGGAUAACCUACCUAUAAGACUGGGAUAACUUCGGGAAACCGGAGCUAAUACCGGAUAAUAUAUUGAACCGUAUGGUUCAAUAGUGAAAGACGGUUUUGCUGUCACUUAUAGAUGGAUCCGCGCCGCAUUAGCUAGUUGGUAAGGUAACGGCUUACCAAGGCAACGAUGCGUAGCCGACCUGAGAGGGUGAUCGGCCACACGUGAACUGAGACACGGUCCAGACGACUACGUGAGGCAGCAGUAGGGAGUGUUCCGCAAUGGGCGAAAGCCUGACGGAGCAACGCCGCAUGAGUGAUGAAGGGCUUCGGAUCGUAAAACUCUGUUAUUAGGGAAGAACAAAUGUGUAAGUAACUAUGCACGUCUUGACGGUACCUAAUCAGAAAGCCACGGCUAACUACGUG